rnacentral:rRNA from 1 species
GAUAAACGCUGGCGGCGUGCCUAAUACAUGCAAGUCGAGCGAACGGACGAGAAGCUUGCUUCUCUGAUGUUAGCGGCGGACGGGUGAGUAACACGUGGAUAACCUACCUAUAAGACUGGGAUAACUUCGGGAAACCGGAGCUAAUACCGGAUAAUAUUUUGAACCGCAUGGUUCAAAAGUGAAAGACGGUCUUGCUGUCACUUAUAGAUGGAUCCGCGCUGCAUUAGCUAGUUGGUAAGGUAACGGCUUACCAAGGCAACGAUGCAUAGCCGACCUGAGAGGGUGAUCGGCUACACUGGAACUGAGACACGGUCCAGACUCCUACGGGAGGCAGCAGUAGGGAAUCUUCCGCAAUGGGCGAAAGCCUGACGGAGCAACGCCGCGUGAGUGAUGAAGGUCUUCGGAUCGUAAAACUCUGUUAUUAGGGAAGAACAUAUGUGUAAGUAACUGUGCACAUCUUGACGGUACCUAAUCAGAAAGCCACGGCUAACUACGUGCCAGCAGCCGCGGUAAUACGUAGGUGGCAAGCGUUAUCCGGAAUUAUUGGGCGUAAAGCGCGCGUAGGGCGGUUUUUUAAGUCUGAUGUGAAAGCCCACGGCUCAACCGUGGAGGGUCAUUGGAAACUGGAAAACUUGAGUGCAGAAGAGGAAAGUGGAAUUCCAUGUGUAGCGGUGAAAUGCGCAGAGAUAUGGAGGAACACCAGUGGCGAAGGCGACUUUCUGGUCUGUAACUGACGCUGAUGUGCGAAAGCGUGGGGAUCAAACAGGAUUAGAUACCCUGGUAGUCCACGCCGUAAACGAUGAGUGCUAAGUGUUAGGGGGUUUCCGCCCCUUAGUGCUGCAGCUAACGCAUUAAGCACUCCGCCUGGGGAGUACGACCGCAAGGUUGAAACUCAAAGGAAUUGACGGGGACCCGCACAAGCGGUGGAGCAUGUGGUUUAAUUCGAAGCAACGCGAAGAACCUUACCAAAUCUUGACAUCCUUUGACAACUCUAGAGAUAGAGCCUUCCCCUUCGGGGGACAAAGUGACAGGUGGUGCAUGGUUGUCGUCAGCUCGUGUCGUGAGAUGUUGGGUUAAGUCCCGCAACGAGCGCAACCCUUAAGCUUAGUUGCCAUCAUUAAGUUGGGCACUCUAAGUUGACUGCCGGUGACAAACCGGAGGAAGGUGGGGAUGACGUCAAAUCAUCAUGCCCCUUAUGAUUUGGGCUACACACGUGCUACAAUGGACAAUACAAAGGGCAGCGAAACCGCGAGGUCAAGCAAAUCCCAUAAAGUUGUUCUCAGUUCGGAUUGUAGUCUGCAACUCGACUACAUGAAGCUGGAAUCGCUAGUAAUCGUAGAUCAGCAUGCUACGGUGAAUACGUUCCCGGGUCU